rnacentral:rRNA from 1 species
AAAUAAGCUUUUAAGGGCAGAUGGUGGAUGCCUUGGCAAAGAGAGGCGAUGAAGGACGUACUAGACUGCGAUAAGCUACGGGGAGCUGUCAAGAAGCUUUGAUCCGUAGAUUUCCGAAUGGGGCAACCCAAUACAUAGAGAGUAUGUAUUACCUUAAAUGGAGCGAACCUAGGGAAGUGAAACAUCUCAGUACCUAGAGGAAAAGAAAUCAAACGAGAUUCUCCUAGUAGCGGCGAGCGAACGGGGAAGAGGGCAAACCCAAUGCUUGCAUUGGGGGUUGAGGACUGCAACAUCCACUUGUAUCAUUUAGUAGAAUAAUUUGGAAAGAUUAGCCACAGAGGGUGAUAGCCCCGUAUAUGAAAAAUGAUACAUAGGUAGCAGGAUCCAGAGUAGGCCAGGACACGUGAAAUCCGGGCUGAAGCCGGGGAGACCACUCUCCAACCCUAAAUACUACUCUUUGACCGAUAGCGAACAAGUACCGUGAGGGAAAGGUGAAAAGAACCGCAGUGAGCGGAGUGAAAUAGAACCUGAAACCAUCUGCCUACAAUCAUUCGGAGCCCUAUGAUUUAUCAGGGUGACGGACUGCCUUUUGCAUAAUGAUCCUGCGAGUUGUGGUAUCUGGCGAGGUUAAGCAAACGCGAAGCCGUAGCGAAAGCGAGUCUGAAAGGGCGAUUAGUCAGAUGCUGCAGACCCGAAGCUGAGUGAUCUAUCCAUGGCCAAGUUGAAGCGAGUGUAAUAGCUCGUGGAGGACUGAACUCGUACCCAUUGAAACGGGUUGGGAUGAGCUGUGGAUAGGGGUGAAAGGCCAAACAAACUCAGUGAUAGCUGGUUCUCUCCGAAAUAUAUUUAGGUAUAGCCUCAAGUGAUAGUAAUAGGGGGUAGAGCUCUGAUUGGGCUAGGGCUGCUCACCGCGGUACCAAACCCUGUCAAACUUCGAAUACCUAUUACCGUAUCUUGGGAGUCAGGCGGUGGGUGAUAAAAUCAAUCGUCAAGAGGGGAACAACCCAGACUACCAAAUAAGGUCCCAAAGUUCUAUUCUGAGUGGAAAAAGAUGUACAGUUACUUAGACAACCAGGAGGUUGGCUUAGAAGCAGCCAUCCUUUAAAGAAAGCGUAACAGCUCACUGGUCUAGUGAUUGCGCGCUGAAAAUAUAACGGGGCUAAGAUAGACACCGAAUUUGUAGAUUACACGGCACAAUUUAGAUGAUCUAAAGUGCUUAUGUAUAAGCUUUAUUUCUUAGCUCAUAAAGUGAGUUAAGCAAAUAUCUAUAAGAUCGUUUAAAUUGUGCCGUGUAGUGGUAGGAGAGCGUUCGUAUCUGCGCUGAAGGUAUACCGGUAAGGAGUGCUGGAGCGAUGCGAAGUGAGCAUGCAGGAAUGAGUAGCGAUAAAAUAUGUGAGAAUCAUAUUCGCCGUAAGUCUAAGGUUUCCUACGCGAUGCUCGUCAUCGUAGGGUUAGUCGGGUCCUAAGCCGAGUCCGAAAGGGGUAGGCGAUGGCAAAUAGGUUAAUAUUCCUAUACCAACAUUAGUGUGCGAUGGAGGGACGCAUAGGGUUAGGUGAGCCAACUGAUGGAAUAGUUGGUCGAAGGGUGUAAGUUGGGAGAUUGGCAAAUCCGCUCCUGUAUCACAAACCUCACAGGCUCUUUGAAGUUUUCGGAUGGAAGAGAGAAUCACUGAUACCGUCGUGCCAAGAAAAGCUUCUAAGUUUAGCUAAUGUUGCCCGUACCGCAAACCGACACAGGUAGAUGAGAUGAGUAUUCUAAGGCGCGUGAAAGAACUCUGGUUAAGGAACUCUGCAAACUAGCACCGUAAGUUCGCGAUAAGGUGUGCCACAGCAAUGUGGUCUCAGCAAAGAGUCCCUCCCGACUGUUUACCAAAAACACAGCACUUUGCAAACUCGUAAGAGGAAGUAUAAGGUGUGACGCCUGCCCGGUGCUCGAAGGUUAAGAGGAUUAGUCAGCCGCAAGGUGAAGCUUUGAAUUGAAGCCCGAGUAAACGGCGGCCGUAACUAUAACGGUCCUAAGGUAGCGAAAUUCCUUGUCGGUUAAAUACCGACCUGCAUGAAUGGCGUAACGAGAUGGGAGCUGUCUCAACCAGGGAUUCAGUGAAAUUGUAGUGGAGGUGAAAAUUCCUCCUACCCGCGGCAAGACGGAAAGACCCCGUGGACCUUUACUACAGCUUGGCACUGCCGAUGGGAGCAUUAUGCGCAGGAUAGGUGGGAGGCUUUGAAAUCUUCACUCCGGUGGAGAUGGAGCCAUCCUUGAGAUACCACCCUUAAUGUUUCUGUCUGCUAACUGGCUUGAGUUAUCCUCAAGCAGGACAAUGCCUGGUGGGUAGUUUGACUGGGGCGGUCGCCUCCUAAAAAGUAACGGAGGCUUGCAAAGGUUGGCUCAUUGCGGUUGGAAAUCGCAAGUUGAGUGUAAUGGCAUAAGCCAGCCUGACUGUAAGACAAACAAGUCGAGCAGAGACGAAAGUCGGUCAUAGUGAUCCGGUGGUUCUGUGUGGAAGGGCCAUCGCUCAAAGGAUAAAAGGUACCCCGGGGAUAACAGGCUGAUCUCCCCCAAGAGCUCACAUCGACGGGGAGGUUUGGCACCUCGAUGUCGGCUCAUCGCAUCCUGGGGCUGGAGCAGGUCCCAAGGGUAUGGCUGUUCGCCAUUUAAAGCGGUACGCGAGCUGGGUUCAGAACGUCGUGAGACAGUUCGGUCCCUAUCUGCCGUGGGCGUAGGAAAGUUGAGGAGAGCUGUCCCUAGUACGAGAGGACCGGGAUGGACGUGCCACUAGUGUACCAGUUGUUCUGCCAAGGGCAUCGCUGGGUAGCUACGCACGGAUGUGAUAACCGCUGAAAGCAUCUAAGCGGGAAGCCAACUCCAAGAUUAACUUUCCCUGAAGGUCGCAAGAAGACUACUUGCUUGAUAGGUUAGAUGUGUAAGUGCAGUAAUGCAUUUAGCUGACUAAUACUAAUAGACCGUUUGGCUUAUUUUUAUCAAAUACAAA